rnacentral:rRNA from 1 species
UACACAUGCUCGUCGAGGGGCAGCAUAAAUAAAGCUUCGCUUUAUUGGUGGCGACCGGCGCACGGGUGCGUAACGCGUAUGCAACCUACCUUAUACUGGGGUAUAGCCCGGAGAAAUUCGGAUUAAUCCCCCAUAGUAUCAAUUAUUCGCAUGUUUGAUUGAUUAAAGGUUACGGUAUAAGAUGGGCAUGCGUCCUAUUAGCUAGAUGGUGGGGUAACGGCUCACCAUGGCGACGAUAGGUAGGGGGCCUGAGAGGGUGGUCCCCCACACUGGUACUGAGACACGGACCAGACUCCUACGGGAGGCAGCAGUGAGGAAUAUUGGUGGAUGGUGGGAAGACUGAACCAGCCAUGCCGCGUGCAGGAAGACGGAUUUAGGUCUGU